UUUAAAUAAAUAUUAGAGACGCACAACGUGAUGAAUAAUUUCGGGCUGCCACCCUGUCAAUUGUCUGCCUCGCAUGGGCAAUUUCAAUUUCAGCUACGUCAGCCCGCGGAUUGUGGGCUGCACUGUGACGAAAACAUGGGCACAUUAACCAAAAAAGUUGGCUUCCAGUUCGGAAAAGAUCUUUCAGUUGCCAUUCUCCGGACAAUUAGCAAACCAAAAGUGGGCCAAACGAACUGUCAAGCCGGCAAACAUCGAAUCAGACCAUCGAAGUGAAAUGGAAAUGGAAAUGGAAAAAUGAAACUGCUACUAAAAAGGAAACUUGUGUUUUGCAUUUUUGUUUUUGCUGCUGGGGUCAAGCCUUACCGACUCCCAGAAGGCAGAAACACAAAACUAAAAUACAAAAAAAGGUUACCAACGUAGAGCAAACUUCUCGAUGAUAAUGAAACUGCUGAUGAUAAUGAUUUAAAUGGACUGGAGUGGACAUGUCAGACAGCAAAAUGGUGUAGGUGCACGGAGAACAGGGGGAGUUAAACAUUAUAAUGAUAAAACUUACUUAAAAUCUGAAGUUUAUUUUGAAAAUUUUGGAAAAAUAUAUAUAACAUUGCAACAGUAAA